AGAAAACAAAUAUCGCUCAUAUUCUUUCCAUCAAAUUCGUUGCUGGUGAUACCUUCAACACCUAAUUUUUAGGGAUUUAGGGUUAACAAUUAGAUGAAUACAAUCAAUAUAUUUAACAAGAUUUUAGUAUUCAAAAUUUUUCUAUUUCCACGGUCAAUUUCACAUUUCCGAUCCUUUCAUCCAGGAUAAUAGUUUGAAUAUGAAAUUCGGGUUUCCAAAGAACCCAUAUUCUCAUGUAUCUGGAGCAUCAAUUUCGUGACCAAAGUCUUAAAAUAUGAGCUUUCUUUGAUCAAAAAAAUAAUGAAUCAAGGUGCCCGACUUGCGGAAACUAUAAGACCCAUUAUGUAAAGUUUGCUAGGCUUUUCAAUGGAGCCAAUGCAGUUCAUCCAGAGACUGUACUGAUGACACGAAUAAACUGUGCGAUACGAUGAUUUGUCGUGGCAGCAAGAAUGAUACUAGGGCCUUCAGCUAUGGCUUAUGGAAUCUGCUACAUUUACUUUAAGUGAGAGUUGAGGAUGGAGAGAGUCAGAUGACGUUUACAACUAUCCUUUCUAUCCACCAGUGAUUCAUGUGUUAGGAGUGUCGUCGACACUUUUAUAGUAUGUGCUCAAGGCGGGCAUAGUGAAGAAGGAUACUAUCAAGAUCCAUGGAUGCUAGGCUGCUGAAGCCACACAUGUAUACGCAUAUCAAGCAAGUAGAGUGUUGUGUUUGCUCUUAGUUGGGUUGUGACAAUUUCUGCAAGUUGUCUCUGUUAUUUCUACUACUAGCUCGGUAAUGUUAUGAGAUAUGUGUUUCCAUGUUAAUGUUAGACAUAUAAUAAUCAAUGAACAAUUGGUAAUAUCCUUCACA